AUUGAACGCUGGCGGCAUGCUUUACACAUGCAAGUCGAACGGUAACAGGCCUUCGGGUGCUGACGAGUGGCGAACGGGUGAGUAAUGCAUCGGAACGUGCCCAGAGGUUGGGGAUAACGCAGCGAAAGCUGUUCUAAUACCGCAUGUGAUCUGAGGAUGAAAGCGGGGGACCAAGCAGCAAUGUUUGGCCUCGCGCCUCUGGAGCGGCCGAUGUCAGAUUAGGUAGUUGGUGGGGUAAAGGCCUACCAAGCCGACGAUCUGUAGCUGGUCUGAGAGGACGACCAGCCACACUGGGACUGAGACACGGCCCAGACUCCUACGGGAGGCAGCAGUGGGGAAUUUUGGACAAUGGGCGCAAGCCUGAUCCAGCAAUGCCGCGUGCGGGAAGAAGGCCUUCGGGUUGUAAACCGCUUUUGUACGGAACGAAAAGGCUCUGGCUAAUACCUGGGGCUGAUGACGGUACCGUAAGAAUAAGCACCGGCUAACUACGUG
rnacentral:rRNA from 1 species